CGUGGAGACAGGUGGUGCAUGGUUGUCGUCGGCUCGUGUCGUGAGAUGUUGGGUUAAGUCCCGCAACGAGCGCAACCCUUGAGCUUAGUUGCCAGCACGUAAAGGUGGCACUCUAGGCUGACUGCCGGUGACAAACCGGAGGAAGGCGGGGAUGACGUCAAAUCAUCAUGCCCCUUAUGACCUGGGCUACACACGUACUACAAUGGCCGGUACAACGGGUUGCGAAGCCGCGAGGCGGAGCCAAUCCCAGCAAAGCCGGUCUCAGUUCGGAUUGCAGGCUGCAACUCGCCUGCAUGAAGUCGGAAUUGCUAGUAAUCGUGGAUCAGCAUGCCACGGUGAAUACGUUCCCGGGCCUUGUACACACCGCCCGUCACACCACGAGAGUCUGCUGUACUCGAAGUCGCUGAG
rnacentral:rRNA from 1 species